GUCAGCUGGAAAAUUUACCAGGCAGGAAAGGUGCUUGUUAGUACUGCUCAAGUUGGAGAAGCCCUCAUCCUUGGGAUGUUGAACUGGCAGGGAGCAUAAUGCCUGCUAAUAUUGCCUCUGAGGCUGUAAUUUAUAAUUUUUGUUUUUGAAUUAACUUACUAGACUAGGAGAAGGAUCCAAGUCAAGUGGUAAAUGUCAGUUGGAGAGCCAAGACAGCCUGGAUCUUUUAGAAACAUGACAGUAUUUCCUGGCUUCAAGAUACGCUGGGAAAUUUGAAGAUAUGGCACAUAUAAAAAGCUUUUUAAGGUUUAAAUGUAUGCAUUUCAUACUGCAGGGAGUAAUCUGUUUUGUGGUUAAUGCAAGUCCAUUGGCAGAGAAUCGUAAUCUGUUUGCUAUAGAGUAUCACUUUUCACAGGACAGUGUCCUACUUAGUCAAUCCCAAUUUAGGAAUUAGUUACUUAAUCAUCUCUCCCAACUACUGAUUUCUAAGAUUAAGACUUGCAACUACUUUUUUA
ensembl:lncRNA